rnacentral:lncRNA from 10 species
CGAAGCUUCUGCGCUGGAGCCCCCGGACUUACCAGCGCAGAAGAAGAGAGAUGAGAGCAGUGAGGCACAGAGAAGGUGACCGCCUGAGGUAUCUCGGUUGGUAAGCAGCAGCGCUGGGCUUGGAAUCCGGUUUGAACCUGCAGCAUGUGACCCGCUGUUCUCUGAAUGCUGCUGCUACACGAGAUGGAAUCUCACUCUGUUGCCUAGGCCAGAUGGAGUGCAGUAGCACGAUCUCAGCUCACUGCAGCUUCUGCCUCCCGGGUUCAAGCAACUCUCCUGCUUCAGCCUCCUGAGUAGUGAGAUUACAGGCUGCACCACAACGCCCAGCUAAUUUUUCUAUCUUUAGUAGAGAGGGGGUUUCACCAUGUUGGCCAGGCUGGUCUGGAACUGUUGACCUUAGGUGAUCCGCCUGCCUCGGCCUCCCAAAGUGCUGGGAUUACAGAUAUGAGCCACCGCAUCCGGCCUAUUCUGCUAGCCUAUUCUGCUAAUUUUUAAGUCUGUGCAACUUUCAAGGGAAAUUAAAUCCCGAUAUGCCCUACUCAUUUUACACCAAAGUCAUCAAAAUGUGGCUUUCAACGCCCCUUUGAAGUCCUAAAACUAGACUUGGUCAAGAGGCCCAAGUGUUUUAAGUGCAUCGGAAACAAAGAAACAUGUUAAUAAAAUGUUUCCUUCUUGGCAGCAUCCUGGUGAGUGCCUCCCUGGGUUGCAAAGGGAAAUGUGAUGAGGAAGAGGUGGGCUUGUGUGCUUUGAAGUGGGCAGGGCCUGGGAAUCUCUACAGGGCAGUGCAGCUGCUGUCCGCUU